UCGCUGCUUAGGCCCAUUAAGCCUGCUCAGAUUUGGCUGGCUAGGCCCAUUAAGCCUGCUCAGAUUUGGCUGGCUAGGCCCAUUAAGCCUGCUCAGAUUUGGCUGGCUAGGCACAUUAAGCCUGCUCAGAUUUGGCUGGCUAGGCACAUUAAGCCUGCUCAGAUUCGCUGCCUAGGCCCAUUAAGCCUGCUCAGAUUUGGCUGGCUAGGCCCAUUAACCCUGCUCAGAUAUGGCUGGCUAGGCACAUUAAGCCUGUUCAGAU